AUUGAACGCUGGCGGCAUGCCUUACACAUGCAAGUCGAACGGCAGCACGGAGCUUGCUCUGGUGGCGAGUGGCGAACGGGUGAGUAAUAUAUCGGAACGUACCCUGGAGUGGGGGAUAACGUAGCGAAAGUUACGCUAAUACCGCAUACGAUCUACGGAUGAAAGUGGGGGAUCGCAAGACCUCAUGCUCGUGGAGCGGCCGAUAUCUGAUUAGCUAGUUGGUAGGGUAAAAGCCUACCAAGGCAUCGAUCAGUAGCUGGUCUGAGAGGACGACCAGCCACACUGGAACUGAGACACGGUCCAGACUCCUACGGGAGGCAGCAGUGGGGAAUUUUGGACAAUGGGCGAAAGCCUGAUCCAGCAAUGCCGCGUGAGUGAAGAAGGCCUUCGGGUUGUAAAGCUCUUUUGUCAGGGAAGAAACGGUGAGGGCUAAUAUCCCUUGCUAAUGACGGUACCUGAAGAAUAAGCACCGGCUAACUACGUGCCAGCAGCCGCGGUAAUACGUAGGGUGCAAGCGUUAAUCGGAAUUACUGGGCGUAAAGCGUGCGCAGGCGGUUUUGUAAGUCUGAUGUGAAAUCCCCGGGCUCAACCUGGGAAUUGCAUUGGAGACUGCAAGGCUAGAAUCUGGCAGAGGGGGGUAGAAUUCCACGUGUAGCAGUGAAAUGCGUAGAUAUGUGGAGGAACACCGAUGGCGAAGGCAGCCCCCUGGGUCAAGAUUGACGCUCAUGCACGAAAGCGUGGGGAGCAAACAGGAUUAGAUACCCUGGUAGUCCACGCCCUAAACGAUGUCUACUAGUUGUCGGGUCUUAAUUGACUUGGUAACGCAGCUAACGCGUGAAGUAGACCGCCUGGGGAGUACGGUCGCAAGAUUAAAACUCAAAGGAAUUGACGGGGACCCGCACAAGCGGUGGAUGAUGUGGAUUAAUUCGAUGCAACGCGAAAAACCUUACCUACCCUUGACAUGGCUGGAAUCCCCGAGAGAUUGGGGAGUGCUCGAAAGAGAACCAGUACACAGGUGCUGCAUGGCUGUCGUCAGCUCGUGUCGUGAGAUGUUGGGUUAAGUCCCGCAACGAGCGCAACCCUUGUCAUUAGUUGCUACGAAAGGGCACUCUAAUGAGACUGCCGAUGACAAACCGGAGGAAGGUGGGGAUGACGUCAAGUCCUCAUGGCCCUUAUGGGUAGGGCUUCACACGUCAUACAAUGGUACAUACAGAGCGCCGCCAACCCGCGAGGGGGAGCUAAUCGCAGAAAGUGUAUCGUAGUCCGGAUUGUAGUCUGCAACUCGACUGCAUGAAGUUGGAAUCGCUAGUAAUCGCGGAUCAGCAUGUCGCGGUGAAUACGUUCCCGGGUCU
rnacentral:rRNA from 1 species